UUUCUUUGCCUGCCGCCAUCCACGUAAAAUGCGACUUGCUCCUCUUUGCCUUCUACCAUGAUUCUGAGGCCUUCCAGCCACGUCGAACUACGGAAGAAGGAGAUGCCAGUGACAAGCAAAGUAACUCCCCCCAUGGCAUGGGAAGAGCCAGCAUCUGCUGCUGUCCAGGAACACAGUCCCACCGCUGCAGUCAAGGAAGGCCAAGGAAGCCACCGGGAAAAACCAAUCCAUCCCAGGGACACUGGAGGCUCACUCCUUCCUUGCUGCAUUCUGAGGCUGCUGCUUUGGAGUGAGAGAUUAUCCUCUGCUUCUCCUGAAGGAGAAGGUGAUAAGCCCAGAACCCUUCCUGAGUAAGAUGUGUUCCUCAGAGGUUAAAAAAGAAAAAAAAGCCCCAAACCCCUGAAACCAAGAAAUCAAGACAGCUCUGGUGGAGAAGCUUUUGGGAACUUGCUGGGGCAGGCUCCAAUCAGCUUAAAGUCCUUGCAAAGAAAGAAAUUGUGCCCUGUCUCUCAGCAUCGACCAUAGCAGAGAGCCUGGGACUUGAAUGGGUGUCAUUAUUUAUCUGCUGAACAAAUAGCAAAUUAUCUGGAUUUUACAGACGAAGGAGGACAUUGAAGAUUAGAGGUUGCAUAGCCUGACCAUGUUUACAUCUACUGCAGAUGAAGAGAUUGCUUCACUUCAAACCUCCUGACUGCCAUGGAACCAUCUGGCACAUGCACGUGUGUGGGUAGGUGAGACUCCAGCUAACACUAAAGUCUUCAGCUGGCAUAAGUUGUUUCUUAUUUACCACUUCAUACCACAUCUGAGUACAGAG
rnacentral:lncRNA from 1 species